GCCAGCAGCCAUGUCACCCUGCAACUUACAAUUGGCAACCCACUGAAGCUAAGCAGGUGUGAGCCUGGUCAGUACCUGGAUGGGAGACUUCUUGGGAAAAACUAAGGUUGCUGCUGGAA
rnacentral:rRNA from 1 species